UAUAUGCAUGAGCGCAUUGGUUCCGCGAGUCUUUAAUGGCAGCGGAUUAAAAGGGAACAUGGUGAGGAAUAGCCGAAGGGCGCCGAAUCCAUGACUGCCCCCGCAACUGUGAGCGGAUUGUCGAUUGCAAAUAGCCACUGGGUACGACGUCCCGGGAAGGCGCAAUAGGCUAUAAUCCGUGAGUCAGGAGACCUGCCAAGAAAUCUGCUGUUCG
rnacentral:ncRNA from 2 species